rnacentral:rRNA from 1 species
UACAGAGGUGGCAAGCGUUGUUCGGAAUUACUGGGCGUAAAGGGCGCGUAGGCGGUUCCGUAAGUCCCGCGUGAAAUCCCCCGGCUCAACUGGGGAACUGCGCGGGAAACUUCGGGGCUUGAGUUCGGGAGAGGCGAGUGGAAUUCCGUGGUGUAGCGGUGAAAUGCGCAGAUAUCAGGAGGAACACCUACGGCGAAGGCAGCUCGCUGGGACGGUACUGACG